GUUUAGUAUUUAGGGUUUAGGGUUUAGGGUUUGGAGUUUAGGGUUUAGAGUUUAGGGUUUAGGGUUUAGGGUUUAGGGUUUAGAGUUUAAGGUUUAGGGUUUAGGGUUUAGAGUUGAGAAAUGAGGUUUUGGGGAUAAGAUUUCAAAUUUUGAAAAAUAAAAAAAUUAAAAUUUUCAAAGGAUAAACUUAGAAAUAUGCUAUUUUGGUCAUUUUAGUUUUGGAGUGCUAUUUUUGUGAUAUAAACUUAGAAAUGUGCUAUUUUGGAGAUUUGCCCUAAAAAAAAACUAAUCUAUAUUUAAUUUUGAUUUCAGAGAUCAUCCAAAUUUAAAUCCUAUAUUGUAAAAAUUAAACCUAUACUAACUAGGGAUAACUGGUUUAAUAAUUAGAUUAUUUUCAUAAAUGAAAAUUAACUAUUUCCAAAAUUUUCAAAUCUAACAUUUUUUAUUAAGUAAAAAAAUAAUACUAUAAUUAAAUCUCCUAAAUAUUCUCUUUUUAUUUUAUUUUUAUCAUUUAUAAUUUUAAAUAAUUAUUUUUAAAUAUAAAAUCAAA
rnacentral:lncRNA from 1 species